UACAGAGGGUGCAAGCGUUGUUCGGAAUUAUUGGCGUAAAGCGCGUGUAGGCGGCUUUGCAAGUCGGGUGUGAAAUACCCUCCGAGCUUAACUGAGGAAGUGCGCCCUGAAACUGCCGAGCUUGAGUGACCGGAGAGGGUGGCGGAAUUCCCCAAGGUAGAGGUGAAAUUCGUAGAUAUGGGGAGGAACACCGGUGGCGAAGGCGGCCACCUGGACCGACACU
rnacentral:rRNA from 1 species